rnacentral:rRNA from 1 species
GAGCGCCUACGGGAGGCAGCAGUAGGGAAUCUUCCACAAUGGGCGCAAGCCUGACCCAGCAACGCCGCGUGAAGGAAGAAGGCUUUCGGGUUGUAAACUUCUUUUCUCAGGGACGAAGAAAGUGACGGUACCUGAGGAAUAAGCCACGGCUAACUACGUGCCAGCAGCCGCGGUAAUACGUAGGUGGCAAGCGUUAUCCGGAUUUACUGGGUGUAAAGGGCGUGUAGGCGGGAAAGCAAGUCAGAUGUGAAAACCAUGGGCUCAACCUGUGGCCUGCAUUUGAAACUGUUUUUCUUGAGUACUGG